GAGUUUGAUCGUGGCUCAGGAUGAACGCUGGCGGCAUGCCUAAUACAUGCAAGUCGAACGAGAGGAAGGAAAGCUUGCUUUCCUGAAUCUAGUGGCGAACGGGUGAGUAACACGUAGGUAACCUGCCCAUGUGCCCGGGAUAACUUCUGGAAACGGAUGCUAAAACCGGAUAGGUAGCAGACAAGCAUUUGACUGCUAUUAAAGUGGCCUUGGCCAUGAACAUGGAUGGACCUGCGGUGCAUUAGCUGGUUGGUGAGGUAACGGCCCACCAAGGCGACGAUGCAUAGCCGGCCUGAGAGGGCGGACGGCCACAUUGGGACUGAGACACGGCCCAAACUCCUACGGGAGGCAGCAGUAGGGAAUUUUCGUCAAUGGGGGGAACCCUGAACGAGCAAUGCCGCGUGAGUGAGGAAGGUCUUCGGAUCGUAAAGCUCUAUCAGCAGGGAAGAAAAUGACGGUACCUGACUAAGAAGCCCCGG
rnacentral:rRNA from 1 species